rnacentral:lncRNA from 1 species
ACCGAAUAGGGUAUAGGCUAAGCCUUUUUGGGCAUACCUGAAACAGGGAUUCUGGAUGCCCGAGGCUUUCGCACCUUUGGAGGAGUAAUUCGUCCUCCCAGUUAUAGCGAUCCAUAAAUCCUUAGGAGAAAACCCGUCUGGGACCGCUUCGGGUCCGUUCAGAGGGAGUCGGAGUAUUGCAGCUAACUCCUCAAUAGAUAAUUCAUGAUAAUUGUUAAACAACAGAAAACGUAAGGUACCGAAAUAAUACUUGGUUGUGUUAAUCCACCGCUUUUCCAG